UUAAGGUCUGAGAGCCCGGUGGAGCAGCCGAGUACUGGGGUCUUGGGACGUAUAGGGAGCUGGUUCUCUCCGUGGAGGGGAAAGGGUCCAAACAGUCCUACUGAAAAUGCCUCUCCAACUAACGACCAGGCUCCUAAAUCACAGAAAGAAGAAGAGGGUGAGGAGUCUGUAAGACCCCGGGCAAGGGAACAACAGGGGGAGGAGGAGAGCUCCAAUACCAAUCCACUGGGUCUCCUUAGAGACAUUUUCCCCAGUGAAGAGGAGGACGCCACGCAGUCUGCCCGCAGAGACGGCUCUGUUGUGAGUAGCACUGAGACUGCAGGAGGAGGUCCAAGAGAGGAGGAGUUUGUGUGGACCAGGAAGAAGAGAACAGGGCAAGGCCAGGAGAGGGAGGAGACCAGCAGCAGCAGCAACGGUACUUCAGCGAGCGGGAAUCCUGAGAAGAAUGCCAGUCAUCUGACACAUCUCUCCUCUAAACAGGGAGUGGUAUGGGACUCUGACCGGGCCCACACUCAGCCUCAGGCCCAGAGACAAGCACAGGCCAGGACAGGCAAGAGGCUUCAUGUGUACCUAGAGGAGACCAGCGUGAUUAAGUGUGGCAACGACACCUGUGCUGGACAGGAAGUUGUUCGCACCGAAGUCACAAAAAGCCUGCAAGUCCUCGCCAAGGCAAAGUCAUCACCAAGUUUUGACUUAACAAAGAGCUCAAGUUCAUCAAGUGCAGAGAAGAAAAGGGCAGGUGUGAGGCCCACUGUUGGCACAGAGAGUCAUUACAGUGCCAUAGUGGGAGUGUCACUGAAAUCACGCAAAGACACACAGCCCAAACCUGACCAAGAACAAACAGAGGCCGACAGCAUGGGGCGUAAAAACGCAGCCAGAAGGAAAUUCAAGAAGAACGCUCAGGGAGAUGGAGCUAACAGCCCCCAGGAAAAAAUGUCCCCCACUUCUGAACCUCCUCCUGAGGGAUUCCCUAUAUCAGAUAACUCAGUGACCAGCCCUCAGGUCAAAAGUCCAAAGACUCACAAGGGAGAGUCAACUAUAAACUCCUCCUCCAAGCACACCCCAACCUCUCAGGCCUCACCUGAAGUAAAGGAGAGUAAGACUUCCUGUCCUGACACAAUCAAGGAGUUGGACAAGUUCCAGGAGUCAAACUCAGUCGGUGCAGUGACUGUGGCAUGUGUGGUUGAUGGGGCCGCAGACAUGGAGGACGAUGACAGUCUUUACAAAGUGGAGAGGAAGACAGAGACACCAGAGUCCAAACGCAGGAGUGUCAAGGUUUCUCGGAGUGAGGUGAAGUUUUUUCCAAAAAAUGUGCCUUUGAGGCAAAGUCCAGCGGGAGGCAACCAGGAUUUUAAGGCUAAAGAUGAAGCAAAGGAUAAGCCCAAAACAGAGAUUGAUGCAAGGUAAGUCUUCAGCUACAUGUGACUGAGUGGGAGACCAGUCUGUGAUUUGUGAAUGAAUGACUCAACACAUUUUCCUAGACUGUAGUGUGUAAAUCAGACUUUGAAUACUGUCCACUUCCACUUAAUAUAUUCUAAGUAUCUAAGAAUACAUUUUUUUAUUUGAACCCACCUCAAGCUUUUGUCUAACAUGACAUUGCUGCCAAAGCAGGGGAUGUGUUAUAAAUGCUUUGGGUGGAAUAUCAGCAGUGAAACAAUGGUGUGAGUCAUAACACAAGGAACAGCCCUGCGCGUCAAGAUUGUUACUGCCGCGCAGAUAAGACUUAAAUAUAGGUCAAAUCACCCAGACAUCAUACGUUCUUUUGUCUGUGACAUAUUCAAACGUACAUGAGUCAUAAUCAACUCU
rnacentral:lncRNA from 1 species